GUGAUACCGCCUAGUUCUAACCAUAAACGAUGCCAACCAGCGAUCCGCCUGAGUUACUCAAAUGACUCGGCGGGCAGCUUCCGGGAAACCAAAGUAUUUGGGUUCCGGGGGAAGUAUGGUUGCAAAGCUGAAACUUAAAGGAAUUGACGGAAGGGCACCACCAGGAGUGGAGCCUGCGGCUUAAUUUGACUCAACACGGGAAAACUUACCCGGCCCGGACACUGGGAGGAUUGACAGAUUGAGAGCUCUUUCUUGAUUCGGUGGAUGGUGGUGCAUGGCCGUUCUUAGUUGGUGGAGCGAUUUGUCUGGUUAAUUCCGAUAACGAACGAGACUCUAGCCUAUUAAAUAGGUGCGGGGUUCCCAGCACCUUACAACCUUCUUAGAGGGACAAGCGGCUCCUAGCCGCACGAAACAGAGCAAUAACAGGUCUGUGAUGCCCUUAGAUGUCCGGGGCCGCACGCGCGCUACACUGAAGGAAGCAGCGUGUCUUUAUCCCUGUCUGAAAAGACUGGGUAACCCGUGGAACUUCUUUCGUGAUUGGGAUAGGGGCUUGCAAUUGUUCCCCUUGAACGAGGAAUUCCCAGUAAGCGCGAGUCAUAAGCUCGCGUUGAUUACGUCCCUGCCCUUUGUACACACCGCCCGUCGCUACUACCGAUUGAAUGAUUUAGUGAGGUCUUCGGACCGAUGUCCGGCGCGGCCUUUCGGUUGCGCCGGUCUGUUGGAAAGAUGACCAAACUUGAUCAUUUAGAGGAAGUAAAAGUCGUAACAAGGUUUCCGUA
rnacentral:rRNA from 1 species